rnacentral:rRNA from 1 species
UCAUUGUCGAAACCUGCACAGCAGAACGACCCGCGAACUAGUUUACAAAAUCGCGCAGGGUGCCCUGUGCCCCUAGCGCAGGCCUCCGUUCGUUGCGAUGCUUCGUGCGGCGGCCACGUAACAAACUCCGGCGCGGAAAGCGCCAAGGAAAAGCAAACGAGAAAGCGGGAACGCGGAAUGCAUCACGGAAACGUUGCGUGCUUUGGCGUCUCUCCUUUGUAUGAAAAACUACUCUCGGCAACGGAUAUCUCGGCUCUCGCAUCGAUGAAGAACGUAGCGAAAUGCGAUACUUGGUGUGAAUUGCAGAAUCCCGUGAACCAUCGAGUCUUUGAACGCAAGUUGCGCCCAAAACCUUCGGGUCGAGGGCACGUCUGCCUGGGUGUCACGCAACGUCGCUCCCCCAAUCUCUCCUUCCGGGACUUUGGAAACUGAGCGGAUAAUGGCCUCCCGUGAACCUUGUGUUUGCGGUUGGCCCAAACAGGAGACCAAGUCGGCCAGUGCCGUGGCAUUCGGUGGUUGAAAAUACCCUCACAACGCCUCGCUCAUUUGGUCGGACUGGCAAGGUUCUCAGCGGCCCUCUUUGUAUCCGACGCGACCCCAGGUCAGGCGGGAUU